GAUUGUUUCCGAUCUGUCUUACAGAAAAUGGUACGUUCUUUUGUAACGAAUGUGACUCCAAGUUUGCGGAAGACGAAACCCUGAAGCGCCACGUGCUGCAGGCCCACAGUGACAAGCCAUACAAGUGCGACCGUUGUCAGGCUGCUUUUCGCUACAAAGGAAACCUCGCCAGCCACAAGACUGUCCAUACAGGAGAGAAGCCGUAUCGCUGCAACAUCUGUGGUGCUCAGUUCAACAGACCAGCUAACCUCAAGACCCACACUCGUAUCCACUCAGGAGAAAAGCCAUACAAAUGUGAGACAUGCGGAGCUCGAUUCGUGCAGGUUGCCCAUCUCCGUGCCCAUGUGCUGAUCCACACCGGGGAGAAGCCAUACCCGUGUGAGAUCUGUGGAACGCGCUUCCGUCACCUGCAGACGCUGAAGAGUCACCUGCGCAUACACACAGGAGAAAAGCCCUAUCAUUGCGAGAAAUGCAACUUGCACUUUCGCCACAAGAGUCAGCUUCGAUUGCACCUCAGACAGAAACACGGAGCGAUUACCAACACCAAGAUCCAGUACCGCAUGUCUACCACAGAGCUGCCAACAGACCCGACCAAGGCGUGCUGAACCCGAGCAGGCAGAUAGUCUAACAGACGGGCCAAUCUUGACCACGGCAUUCAAUGACUCCCCCCCCCCCCCGACCAACGCGUACAAUCAUCCCAAAAUUGUAGUGCCACACUGUGUCGAUCAGGUGAUGGUUCAGUAACAUGGCAGUGUAUGUGUCAUUUGAAACGGGUGUCCUCUAACAUGUGAACGUAGUACCAUCUAUGGUAUCUUAGUCAAUUUUAUUGUUUCUAUAUAAAACCGUAUAGAUAUAAUUGUGCUGGGAGUGUUGUUUUUUAAAAAUAUAUAAGCUUUGAAGGGUCUAUAAAAAGCUUUAUUUUGUUGAGAGAGAGGGGAAAAAAGGAUGGAGUGUUACAUAAAUCCAAUCAGAGGAUAACAGUAUUUUAUAUUAAAUCGCUUUUCUGAAAAGUAUUGACAUUUUUCGAUUGGAUGGGUGGUAGUAUAUUUUUUAAGGUAAAUGGUAUUUCUGGCUGUAAUAAAGAUGGACAAUUUUUCUAUACAUUUUUCUAAUUUAGACGUACAUGUUAGUCCGUGUAUAUUUGACCCUUUUCAUGUCACAACAAAAACAAAAACGACAACAAACAAAAACAAUUCUGAACUCCAGAAGGACUGGCGAUCUAAGCGGACAGAAUGACGCCUAAUGACAUAGUUACUACUGUUACCAAUAGUUACCAAUCAAUGAAGUGGGAAGUCAUUGUGACAGACUGUGUAAUACAUUUGAACUAUAGCCACUGGGUUGACCUCUGCUGGCAGAGUCAAUCUAGAAUUAAAAUGUUAAAAACAUUGCAUUUCGAGGUACUGCUUUGAGUAUGGACCAAGAAGAUAUUUUUGCUUCCAAAUGUAUUUGUAUGGAUGUGUUAUAGUUUAUUGUUUAAGUGAACGUUCCCAGUUGUCAUUGUACUAGAAGCUACAGUAAAACAGGUGUAUCCGAUGUUGUUUGUACAUACACUGUGUACUGAAGGUGCCUUCUCUAUCUGAAUUCAUUUCUAUUCAGCCCAGUUCUGUUUAUAUACAAAGGUACAACUCAAGGACAAGCACUAGUAGUCCUAGGUUUUAUUUUGUGUGUGUUUAAAAAAAAAAACUUUAAAAAAACUUUUCACCUUAUGACAUAAAUUCAUCAUUUGCUCGAGCUGUAAAUCUUCAGGACUUGUUUUGGGAUUGGGCUUUUUUUUCUAGUUUUAAAACUGCAUUCAACUUGUUGUACAGUUAUAGAUGUAUGCAUGUAAA